CCUACGGGGGGCAGCAGUGGGGGAUAUUGCACAAUGGGGGGAACCCUGAUGCAGCGACGCCGCGUGGGUGAAGAAGCGCCUCGGCGCGUAAAGCCCUGUUAGCAGGGAAGAAAAUGACGGUACCUGAAGAAGAAGCCCCGGCUAACUACGUGCCAGCAGCCGCGGUAAUACGUCGGGGGCAAGCGUUAUCCGGAUUUACGGGGUGGAAAGGGGGCGCAGACGGCGAUGAAAGCCAGGAGUGAAAGCCCGGGGCCCAACCCCGGGACUGCUCUUGAAACUGCGUGGCUUGAGUGCGGGAGGGGCAGGCGGAAUUCCUGGUGUAGCGGUGAAAUGCGUAGAUAUCAGGAGGAACACCGAUGGCGAAGGCGGCCUGCUGGACUGCAACUGACGUUGAGGCCCGAAAGCGUGGGGAGCAAACAGGAUUAGAUACCCGGGUAGUC
rnacentral:rRNA from 1 species